rnacentral:rRNA from 1 species
GUGGGGAAUCUUCCGCAAUGGACGAAAGUCUGACGGAGCGACGCCACGUGAGUGAAGAAGGCCUUCGGGUCGUAAAGCUCUGUCAUCAGGGACGAACGGCCGGUGGAGUGGAAAGCCACCGGAUUGACGGUACCUGAGAAGGAAGCCACGGCUAACUACGUGCCAGCAGCCGCGGUAAUACGUAGGUGGCAAGCGUUGUCCGGAAUUAUUGGGCGUAAAGCGCGCGCAGGUGGGAUCUUAAGUCCAUUUUGAAAGUUCGGAGCUCAACUCCGUGAUGGGAUGGAAACUGGGAUUCUUGAGUACCGGAGAGGAAAGCGGAAUUCCCCGUGUAGCGGUGAAAUGCGUAGAUAUGGGGAGGAACACCAGUGGCGAAGGCGGCUUUCUGGACGGUGUCUGACACUGAGGCGCGAAAGCCAGGGGAGCGAACGGGAUUAGAUACCCCAGUAGUCC